rnacentral:rRNA from 1 species
AUGUCAUCGAUGCAGUUCAGCAGCGUGCUGCCCCUGGAGGGCAAGGCGUGCGUCUCCCCCGUCAGGAGAGAGGGCUCCGCCUGCGAGCGCCUCAAGGUCGGCGACAGCAGCAGCAUCAGGCACGACAGGGCCUCCAGGAGGAUGUGCAAUGGCGGCAGGGGCCCCGCCGCCACCGGCGCGCAGUGCGUGCUCACCUCCGACGCCAGCCCGGCAGACACCCUUGUUCUCCGGACGUCCUUCCGGAGGAAUUACGCCGAUCCGAACGAGGUGGCGGCCGUCAUACUCGGCGGUGGCACCGGGACUCAGCUCUUCCCACUCACAAGCACAAGGGCCACACCUGCUGUUCCUAUUGGAGGAUGUUACAGGCUCAUCGACAUUCCCAUGAGCAACUGCUUCAACAGUGGCAUCAACAAGAUAUUCGUCAUGACCCAGUUCAACUCGGCCUCGCUUAAUCGCCACAUUCACCGCACCUACCUCGGCGGGGGAAUCAAUUUCACUGAUGGAUCCGUUGAGGUAUUGGCCGCGACGCAAAUGCCCGGGGAGGCUGCUGGAUGGUUCCGCGGAACAGCGGACGCCGUCAGAAAAUUUAUCUGGGUGCUUGAGGACUAUUAUAAGAAUAAAUCCAUAGAGCACAUUUUGAUCUUGUCGGGCGAUCAGCUUUAUCGCAUGGAUUACAUGGAGCUUGUGCAGAAACAUGUGGAUGACAAUGCUGACAUUACUUUAUCAUGUGCCCCUGUUGGAGAGAGCCGGGCAUCUGAGUACGGGCUAGUGAAGUUCGACAGUUCAGGCCGUGUGGUCCAGUUUUCUGAGAAGCCAAAGGGUGACGAUCUGGAAGCGAUGAAAGUGGACACCAGUUUUCUCAAUUUCGCCAUAGACGAUCCUGCUAAAUAUCCAUACAUUGCUUCUAUGGGAGUCUAUGUCUUCAAAAGAGAUGUUCUGCUCAACCUUCUAAAGUCAAGAUAUGCAGAACUACAUGACUUUGGGUCUGAGAUCCUCCCGAGAGCUCUGCAUGACCACAAUGUACAGGCUUAUGUCUUCACUGACUACUGGGAGGACAUUGGAACAAUCAGAUCCUUCUUCGAUGCAAACAUGGCCCUCUGCGAGCAGGUGCCAUUAUCUUUUUGGCCCCCAAAGUUCGAGUUUUAUGAUCCCAAAACUCCCUUCUUCACCUCGCCUCGAUACCUGCCACCAACAAAGUCAGACAAGUGCAGGAUCAAAGAAGCGAUCAUUUCGCACGGCUGCUUCUUGCGUGAAUGCAAAAUCGAGCACUCCAUCAUCGGCGUUCGCUCACGCCUAAACUCCGGAAGCGAGCUCAAGAAUGCGAUGAUGAUGGGCGCGGACUCGUACGAGACCGAAGACGAGAUCUCGAGGCUGAUGUCGGAGGGCAAGGUCCCCAUCGGCGUCGGGGAGAACACAAAGAUCAGCAACUGCAUCAUCGACAUGAACGCGAGGAUAGGAAGGGACGUGGUCAUCUCAAACAAGGAGGGAGUGCAAGAAGCCGACAGGCCGGAGGAGGGGUACUACAUCAGGUCCGGGAUCGUGGUGAUCCAGAAGAACGCGACCAUCAAGGACGGCACCGUCGUGUAG